UACGUAGGGUGCGAGCGUUGUCCGGAAUUAUUGGGCGUAAAGAGCUCGUAGGCGGUGUGUCGCGUCGGCCGUGAAAACCUAGGGCUCAACCCUGGGCCUGCAGCCGAUACGGGCAAGCUAGAAUUCGGUAGGGGAGACUGGAAUUCCUGGUGUAGCGGUGAAAUGCGCAGAUAUCAGGAGGAACACCGGUGGCGAAGGCGGGUCUCUGGGCCACUACUGACGCUGAGAAGCGAAAGCAUGGGGAGCGAACAGG
rnacentral:rRNA from 1 species